GGCACGUUCUUUGCUGGUCAAGUAGGCAAUGGCCCGGCCAACGGCGGUCGGGCCACAUCAGACAAUGGCGUCUU
rfam:Janthinobacterium agaricidamnosum NBRC 102515 = DSM 9628, complete genome